rnacentral:rRNA from 1 species
AGUAACACGUAGGUAACCUGCCCAUGUGCCCGGGAUAACUUCUGGAAACGGAUGCUAAAACCGGAUAGGUAGCAGACAAGCAUUGACUGCUAGUUAAAGUGGCUAAGGCCAUGAACAUGGAUGGACCUGCGGUGCAUUAGCUAGUUGGUGAGGUAACGGCCCACCAAGGCGACGAUGCAUAGCCGGCCUGAGAGGGCGGACGGCCACAUUGGGACUGAGACACGGCCCAAACUCCUACGGGAGGCAGCAUG